rnacentral:rRNA from 2 species
GGGGAUAACACCUGGAAACAGAUGCUAAUACCGCAUAACAACUUGGACCGCAUGGGCCGAGCUUGAAAGAUGGCUUCGGCUAUCACUUUUGGAUGGUCCCGCGGCGUAUUAGCUAGAUGGUGGGGUAACGGCUCACCAUGGCAAUGAUACGUAGCCGACCUGAGAGGGUAAUCGGCACAUUGGGACUGAGACACGGCCCAAACUCCUACGGGAGGCAGCAGUAGGGAAUCUUCCACAAUGGACGAAAGUCUGAUGGAGCAACGCCGCGUGAGUGAAGAAGGGUUUCGGCUCGUAAAACUCUGUUGUUAAAGAAAAACAUAUCUGAGAGUAACUGUUCAGGUAUUGACGGUAUUUAACCAGAAAGCCACGGCUAACUACGUGCCAGCAGCCGCGGUAAUACGUAGGUGGCAAGCGUUGUCCGGAUUUAUUGGGCGUAAAGCGAGCGCAGGCGGUUUUUUAAGUCUGAUGUGAAAGCCUUCGGCUCAACCGAAGAAGUGCAUCGGAAACUGGGAAACUUGAGUGCAGAAGAGGACAGUGGAACUCCAUGUGUAGCGGUGAAAUGCGUAGAUAUAUGGAAGAACACCAGUGGCGAAGGCGGCUGUCUGGUCUGUAACUGACGCUGAGGCUCGAAAGUCUGGGUAGCAAACAGGAUUAGAUACCCUGGUAGUCCAUACCGUAAACGAUGAAUGCUAAGUGUUGGAGGGUUUCCGCCCUUCAGUGCUGCAACUAACGCAUUAACCAUUCCGCCUGGGGA